UUUUCGUGGCCUGAUUCCCAAACACCUGGUUUGCAUGGCAACAAAGUCUAAUAAAGGUUAAGGAGACUUGGUGAAUUUAAAUUUAAAACAUGCUUCAGUAACUUUUAAUUUAAAGGAGUUACUUGAGUUUUAUGCUGGUGCAAUAAAGGCUGAAUUUAUUAGAAAGUAUUUUACCUCUCUACCGGGGGUGCCUAUAUAUGGCCAGCACAGCAGGAAGACAUGACUUCUAACUGAACUUCACAGAUUUAUUUGGACCGUAAUGAAGACGCGACGGGCCCCGGGCUGUAACCGACGGCGACAGGAUGACACUGAUGAAUGGCUGAAGCCAAGGACAAAUCGACUGAGUCGACUCAAUGCUUCAAGCCUGGCAGCUUCCUGUCGUGCUGUCAAUCAAUGAAUCCAUACGAAGUCUGUCUCAUGCGGGGCUGACAGAGUGUGGCGCAGCACUUUGUGAACAGCGCAGAAAGACAUGUACACAUCAUAAACAACAGUUAGGAAGAAAUCUGACAGCCUGCUUGACGAACUUCUCACUCAACAACAGCUAUUCUGAAAAUACAUGAAGUUGUUUUUUUGUGGAAAUACAGAGUAAAAAAUAAAGCAUCUGCUUUUAUUAUUGAGA